rnacentral:rRNA from 1 species
CGGGUGAGUAAUGUAUGGGGAUCUGCCUGAUGGCGGGGGAUAACUACUGGAAACGGUAGCUAAUACCGCAUAAUGUCUACGGACCAAAGCGGGGGACCUCCGGGCCUCGCGCCAUCAGAUGAACCCAUAUGGGAUUAGCUUGUAGGUAAGGUAGCGGCUUACCUAGGCGACGAUCCCUAGCUGGUCUGAGAGGAUGAUCAGCCACACUGGGACUGAGACACGGCCCAG